UCACGCAUUUGACACAUAAACCGUAUAUUUUGCUCUGCCUGCCUUACCGGGGCAGGGUAUAAAAUGCACGUGCGUGGGCAAAUCGUCAAAUAUAUACUUGCUGCCGGACGAGUACACAAACCUUGAUAUUUUAGGAUACACUGUAGCCAAGCCCUCAAGAUGUACAAGUAUACAAUUCUCGCCUGCUUACUCAUCAUAGCAGUUUCCGUGGCUGUGAACGCCCAAGCGGGAGGUCAAAGCCAGGGAUUCCAAGGUUCAGCCCAGAUGUAUCCAGUUAGACAACAAACUAUGUUUCCAUUCUUUCCCAUGAACUGGAACAGUUUGAUGUGGCUGUACUUCAUGGAUAAUGGAUUCAACACGUAAAAUGGAACCUUGUCGCCUCGCUUUCAUUUCCUGGAUGAAGUUAUUAUCUAUACCUUUAUACAUUUAUAUAUCAUGAUAUAAAAACUUUACCUCACACUUACAAAACCUACGAGAGAAAACUAAUAACAUCGACUGAUUAUUUGUGUCAUACAAUUAUACAAAUAAUAACAGACUUCACGUUUUACAAUUUAUAACUUUAUGCUUUUCGCUCUGAGCCUCUGUUUAGAAAAGUAUUUUGUUAUGUCACAUAUUUAACAUGCCAUAGUUUCUACGUUUGUUUUUCUGUCACUCAUGCGCAAUGAUUUAUUGUAUUCUCCAUUUAUUAUAAAAAUUACAAAUUUUUAAGUAAAACAACAAGGUAAAUAACCUGUAUUUCAAGCAGAACUGUUUUAAACGGCAAGCAUGUUGUUAAUUAUAGAUUAAGUUUCUUUCAAGAAAUAAACAAAAUAUAUUAAGGUUUCAUUACACAUAUGUCAUUUGUUACUACAUGUUAUUUUAUAAAUCGUUUAUUAUAACAUCACUGUUUUACAAUAAACUUAUAUUAUAAUUUC